ACUGACUAUCAGUAACUGUUGCAUGAUAGAGAUGUUAUCCCGAUCAAGGGCUUGUUGAAGUGACCAGAGAUACCAAUAGAUUGAACAGAAAAACUACUCAAAUGGCCAAUUCAAUUUGUUCAGGAUCUUGUUCCUCCUCCUGAAAACCCUUGGUUCCUUGAUUGGCACCAUACCCCAUCCUCUAAGAAUCAUUCUGCAAAAAGAGAUCAGAGGUUAUUUGAGGCAUAAAGUGAAGUUGCACUUGGUUCACAUUACUUUUUUGAGGACUCCUGCUCCUUCCUACUGGAGGCUGUCCUACUACGGGUCCAGUUACAUGACAGUGAAGGCAUCUGUCAGUCAUGACUUACUAUAAGUAUGGGAAAUAUGCCUUGAAUGUGCAUGCCAGGUAUCCUUUUACAGUCUCACUCUGUCACUAAGGCUUUGACCUGUGUCAGAUAUACACUUUCUGUUAAGUCAUAAAUUGUAUUACAAUUCUGGAUACAUUGAUGAAUACAUUUAUCUUAAAGGAUGUAUGUUGAGAGAUUUGACCCUCCCAACAUCUGAGUAUAACAAGGGGACUACUUUUGUUGGCAUUGGGCAGGGCUGUUCAUCAUAUUUUAACAUGUACAAAUAGUGAACUGUCAUCUUCAUAACUUACAUAAUUCACAGACGCACUAGGUAGGUUUACAUGAGGAGACACUGAACCUAGGAGCUGCAAGAGGGUGUAACAAUAAGCUUGCUUCUUCAUUUUUUACUUGAACAGUUUCUUAAGUCAUAGAGUAAACUUUUUGUUUUUCUUUUUUAAGCUUACUAAGAUUCAGAGGAAACUGAUGAGCCACCUAAAUCUACACCUUUGUCAUGUAGUCUUGAUUCCAUAGAAAACUAUCAAUGGUUAUGUUAUUCAUUAGAUACUCUCGUACAACAUCUUAUUUCCUUCUGUUUCUAUUUUUGUUAUUUUUUAUACUUUCCUAUCAUUCUGAUACUUAUUAGUUUUUUUUUUCUUUUCUCUUAUUAAAACUGUUGUCCAUAGAAAAUCCAUCGUCAGAGCACUCAGCCAAAUUUAUAAAAAGGUUCAUCGUAAUAGAACCCCAGCUUCACUUGCACCCACUCCCUGGCUGACAUCUAAACUACAAACAUGAUUGGAACGAUGUCUAACUGUGGAACAGUUUCAAGCAUUUCAUUGAUCACUUUUCAUCCUUUUCUUGGUAGAUCUAGCUUCGAUUUUUCUUUGUAUUUAUUUAUUUAGCUAUUUUUAUUUUUAUUUUUAUUUUUUUACCACGUGGCUUUCUGAAUUUACUGGUUUGUGACCUCAGUGCGAGGAUUAUUACUUGCAGUUAGUAAAUUUAUGGUUAUGUGUGAGUAUGCAAAGCGUCAAAAGGUUCGUGUGGUUCAUCGAUCUGUACUUUAGGUCAAAUUCCAUCUUUAAAAAAUACAUCCUGAAGAAUUGAGACUGGUAUGGGUCGAUAUUAUGCAAUACGUAGAUACAUAAUCACACUACAACUGGCACUGAAUAAAUCGGGGCCGUCAAGCGGUCAGUCCGUUCAAACAGAGACAGAAGUACCUGUUAAUGACUGAAUCGGGGCCGUCGUGCGGUCAGUCCGUCAGACUAUUAAACAGUAACAACAAUAACACAACCGCGUCGUCCAACGACGUCUUCAUAUAAAAAACCAGUAGUACCAAUUCCAUAUUUCUCAACAUGUCCUCCAAGGACACCCUAAUAUUGAUUAAUAUCGACACAUCUCAGCACGCAAAUUCAGGGAACUAUUAAUGUUGUAUUAAAUUAAAUACAUUAUCCAUUCAGACUAUCAACAGUUAAGAAGCCAAUUGUACCAGGGCUACUAGGCAUCCCAUAGCAGAGGUAUCUUUUUUAAUGCUCAAAUCAGGUAAGCACUACAAUCACCAGUGGAUUGAAUAAUUAAAGAUGCUUACCUUUUUGGUGAUUAAUCCUGUUCGUGACGCCAAAUUGUAAGGAUGCCUAGCCCAGGUUCACAUUAGAAAGAAUCGAAGGUCCACACGAAUGGUCAUUUUGACAAGCUUUACUGAUUACAUAUCUGGGUUACAGCUUCAGCAGGCCACAAGUGUGACCAACAGUGGUCCUCUACAAGUGUAACAAAGAGUGACCACCCCAAGUGUAGCAAAAAGCGGUCCACCCCCAAGUGUGGCCAACAUGAGUGUAGCCAAGAGUGGUCCAAGACCAUUCAAGUAUAUAUAGCGAUUCACAAUCCUAAACAUACUGUUGGUAUUUAGUUGACCCUAAGAGAAAACCAUGUAUGGUAAAAACAAAGGACAACAUAUUUCAAAAGCCUUAGAUGAACAUGUGGAAGGUCCCAAGAAGGAAAUAUCAUGGCAAACAUAUUUUGGGGACCUACAUGGUGUAAAUAAUGUGUACAGGGUUCCUUGCUCAGGGAUGGUUGUAGGAGGCCCCCGGCUCCAGCAAUCUAACACCAAAGUGUCUGGGGUAUUUGAGUGACACAGCUCCACCACUCUAAAGGCUGACAUGACUGGCUAAAGAAACUCAUCCUAACACGAAUGUACUGUACUUCACCCAAAAUAAGCAUUAGAAGCCUGACAGAGCAAUGUCAGCACCAAGCAACCAUGCGACUUUACCUUAAGCCAUUAAGUUGUACUCUUUGUACCAUUAAACACUGGCCUCUGCCUGCUUCUUUCUUAAAAUUCCCAUAAAUGCUUACAAAAAGUGUAGGAGCACAAAGCACAUUGAAUCAUCUAGUGUCGCAAUGAAUAAAUCCAUCAACAUGUCAAACAUUUUACCAGAAACUUUGAAAAUGCAAAAAUGUCUGAGAUUAAUUUCUUGUCAUUAACCUGUUUUUUUUUUUUGUCCAAUCACAAUGUCAAAAAAAAAAAAAAAAGACAAAUAUCAGGUGUAAAGCCGCGUUCAGACCAAACGCAACGUCGGUGACAUGAGCAACGACUCCCAAUGCAAAGUCUAUGGACAACCGCGACCUGAUGCGACUUGCCGACCGCCGGCUGCCGGCGAUGCGACGUCAGCGACCUACGCGACCAGGUCGCGCAUGGUCGCUGACGUUGCGUCGCCCGAGGUUGCAGGACGCCAAGUCGCGACGCUCCCAAAGUUUAAAUAUUUGAACUUUGGGAGCGACUCCAUGCCGUGACAGCCAAUCAGGGCUCUGCUGACGUCAACAAACCGGCAAAGCAAGGAGGAGGAGAAGAGGAAUCACAAUGAAGGAGCAGCUUAUCACUGCCGUGAGUUAUCACCCGGUCCUGUACGACAUGGGGUGCGCGUGCUACCAGGACCGCACCUCCAAGGAGGAGGCAUGGUUGAAGGUGGCCCAUGAUGUCGGGCUUUCUGGUAAGUUUGUUUGUUUAUUUAUUUCAGUGAACAGACUAUUUUCUGAAAACAUAGCAAACUUCCCCUGCUUGCUAGGCUACAUGUUUCAAUGUGUGUGUGUUUGUCUUUGCAGUGGAUGUGUGCUGCAAGCGCUGGAAGGGGCUGCUGGAUGUAUGAGGGAGAAAAGGAUGGAGAAGGAAGGUGGGAGAAGCGGGUCAGCGGCAACCAGAAGCGGGUCAGCAGCGAUCAGAAGCGGGUCAGCGGCGACCAGCCGCGUCCUGCGACCUCCGUGACUGCAGCUUUGGACCCGGUGUGAACACACCAGGGCGCAACGCGACGGGAAUACAAUGACCAACGCGACUAGGUCGCUUCAGGUUGUGUUUGGUCUGAACGCGGCUUAAGUCUACAAGGAAUACUGUCUUUCUAAAGUGAGGAUCCUCAUGUCAUUCCUUUACUUUUAAUGGCAAAGGAAGGGUAUUGGACCUAUGACAUGAAAUCGAUACUGUGGUAGUCAAGCUGUCGUGUUUUACAGUCAUGUCAAAGAUUAAAAUCACUUGUCCUCUAAUGUAGUUCUCCUUGAAGUUUUGAUUUAAUUUAAAUUUAAAUCUUUUUUUGUUUCCCUCUCAACCCCUGUCUGUUCCUUAAUUCAGUGCUGUCUUAUUUUCAAUGACUGCAAUUAAGUUUUUAAGUUGGUACACAGAUGGCAGACAGAUAGUGUAUGUACGCUUCAGUGACAUUUUUUUAACCUUAACAUCAGUGUGAUCAGUAUUUUACCAAUAGUCUUGGUAGAUAAGUACCAUGAGCAUACUAAAAAGAAUAAGUAUAAAUUUAGGGCUAUCUUAUCACCUUUUGCAUUAUUUUUAUCCUGUUAUGCUCCCUCAGGUUCAACCUGGGGUCUGUUGCAUAAAAGUAGGAUUCAGAUAUCCAGGAUAAGUGACUGAGCUGAGCUCAACGAAUCCAAAACAAGAGUGUCCAGGCUUAUUCGGUUGCAUAAACGGUAAUACAGGAUGAGAAGAAACGGAUUCAUCGAGCCAGCACCUGGCUCCUUAAAUAGACCCCCACGAUCGAUCACAGAUUCACCUAUUCACCAUGACAACCAGGGCCGCAUACUUCUCCCCGUCCGAGCAGGAUAUACUUAUGGAAGCGUAUGAAGAGAUAAAAGAUCAGAUUUAAAAAAAAGGAAACACUGCCACGCUUUUUCUCGCUGUUUUAUGGCAGUGGCGAAGUAUUGCAGACCACCUGAAUGCAUAAGUGUUGCACAAAUACACACUAACUACUCCUCUGAAACGUCACAAUUGCAAUCCAAAUAGUUAAUUAACAUCUCGAAAAAAAUAGUUGUAGCCUACUCUGAUGAUGAAACAGUUGAAAUUGCAAGUGAAGAUGACUGCAGAGAGAAAGUAUGUAAAUCCAUGUUUGCUCCUCAUGCUCCUCUUCUGUUUCAUUCUUCAUUAAAGCUGUCAAAAUUAGUGACUUCAUUUGAGUAAAUUAAUUUGUGGAAUCAACUGAGUAGAAUUUCUAAUCAUAAUUAUUUUUUUGACCUAUUAGUGCAACAAAUCCAUAAAAUUACAACAAAAAAAAAAAAAAAAUCCCGCAAAAGAAAAAGACAGCCCUAAUGAGUAACAUUUAUACGAACAUAAUUAAAAUAACAGUGUCACUGCUGUUUUUGUGACUGUAAACUGAGGACAGAAUGAUAAAAGCCUUCAUAAUUUUUUACUUUUGGACUUUGACAAAUUAAAAAUUAACAAAUUGAAUGAAAAUUUGUUAGAGCCACCAACGCCAGAUGAUGAUCCAGUGAGUACUCCAUCAAAGGCAUACUGCAGGCCUGGCAUGUCUAGUCUACUAGCUUUAAUGUGAAUCCCAUUACAUGUGAUAGGAUGAAGGCACCAGUGGAGCCGGAGGAGGAGGAGCAGCAGCAGCAGCAGCAGCAGCAGCAGCAG